rnacentral:rRNA from 1 species
CCUGCGGGCCAUUAGCUUGUUGGUGAGGUAACGGCUCACAAGGCUGUGAUGGCUAGCUGGUCUGAGAGGAUUGACCAGCCACACUGGGACUGAGACACGGCCCAGAUCCUACGGAGGCAGCAGUGGGGAAUAUUGCGCAAUGGGCGAAAGCCUGACGCAGCGACGCCGCGUGGGUGAUGAAGGCCUUCGGGUCGUAAAGCCCUGUCGCAGGGGAAGAAUAAGCAUCGGUAUAAUACGCCGGUGCCCUGACGGUACCCUGCAAGAAAGCACCGGCUAACUCCGUG